GGUUCUUUGAUCCAAGAGUUCACACUGUCCCAUGGUGAAACCGCGAAUGGCUCAUUAAAUCAGUCGAGGUUCCUUAGAUGACACGAUCCUACUUGGAUAACUGUGGCAAUUCUAGAGCUAAUACAUGCAAUCGAAGCUCCGACCUUUAUCGGGAAGAGCGCUUUUAUUAGUUCAAAACCAAUCGGCGCGGCCUCGCAAGGGGUUGCGUCGUCCCAUUUGGUGACUCUGGAUAACUUUGUGCUGAUCGCAUGGCCUCGCGCCGGCGACGCAUCUUUCAAAUGUCUGCCCUAUCAAAUGUCGAUGGUACGUGAUAUGCCUACCAUGUUUGUAACGGGUAACGGGGAAUCAGGGUUCGAUUCCGGAGAGGGAGCAUGAGAAACGGCUACCACAUCCGAGGAAGGCAGCAGGCGCGCAACUUACCCACUCCCGGCACGGGGAGGUAGUGACGAAAAAUAACAAUACGGGACUCUUUCGAGGCCCCGUAAUUGGAAUGAGUACACUUUAAACCCUUUAACGAGUAUCUAUUGGAGGGCAAGUCUGGUGCCAGCAGCCGCGGUAAUUCCAGCUCCAAUAGCGUAUAUUAAAGUUGUUGCAGUUAAAAAGCUCGUAGUUGGAUCUCAGGCGCAGGCGGGCGGUCCGGCUCGCGCCGGCUCACUGCCCGUAUCUCCUGCCCUACCGUCUGUCGGCUCUCUCCCGCGGGUGCUCUUCACUGAGCGUCCCGGGUGGCCGACGCGUUUACUUUGAAAAAAUUAGAGUGUUCAAAGCAGGCCUCGCUGCCUGAAUAAUGGUGCAUGGAAUAAUGGAAUAGGACCUCGGUUCUAUUUUGUUGGUUUUCGGAAUUGGAGGUAAUGAUUAACAGGGACAAACGGGGGCAUUCGUAUUGCUGCGUUAGAGGUGAAAUUCUUGGAUCGCAGCAAGACGAACUACUGCGAAAGCAUUUGUCAAGAAUGUUUUCAUUAGUCAAGAACGAAAGUCAGAGGCGCGAAGACGAUCAGAUACCGUCGUAGUUCUGACCAUAAACUAUGCCACCUGGCCAUCCGCAGGAGUUGCUUCGAUGACUCUGCGGGCGGCCUCCGGGAAACCAAAGGUUUUGGGUUCCGGGGGAAGUAUGGUUGCAAAGCUGAAACUUAAAGGAAUUGACGGAAGGGCACCACCAGGAGUGGAGCCUGCGGCUUAAUUUGACUCAACACGGGAAAACUCACCCGGUCCGGACACUGUAAGGAUUGACAGAUUGAUAGCUCUUUCUUGAUUCGGUGGGUGGUGGUGCAUGGCCGUUCUUAGUUG
rnacentral:rRNA from 1 species